UCUUCCUACUUAGCUUAUACUAGUUCUUGAAAGUUUAUUACUUGAUGCUAGGUGAUUGCUAAAGAAAGCCUUCUACUAUUUUUUCUAAAUUCUUGAGAGCUCACUGGAAUUAUCAUCUUCAAAGCAUUUGUCAUUUGCUUAAGUAAUUGAGGCUAACUAUGUUUGUUGCUCUAAAAUCCUUGCUACUGAUCUUUCCAAAUUUUGGGCAUCUAUGGUUCUAAGUUCUCAUCUAUAGCUUGCUAUGUCGAAAUCUAUAUGAAUGUUAUUUACGUAAAGGAUGUUGGGGAGAAUUACCUUGCUUUGGUGAUUCCUUAAUUGUUGGGCAGCUCAAGAGCUUCCUCCCUCUCCUCUCAUUCCUUGCUACUCUUUGCCGAGAAGUUUCUAAGUGGUAAAAAGGUGAAGCAAGAGGUUAAGAGACAACUCAUGCUAUCUCUAGGAGACUACUAAUUGACUCCUUGGCAUGGAGUGGGGAUCAAGAAUCGAGAUGUGUGUAGAGAGGAUCCUCAAUGAAGAUUUGUAGUUAUCUCUUUGCUAAUUUUGGUUUGAUGAUGUAGAGUGACCUUUGUAAAGAAGUUGUACUUAUUCCCAUUAAAUCCUCAUUUCCAUU